rnacentral:rRNA from 1 species
UCGGACCUGCCCGGUGACUAAGUGUUAAACGGCCGCGGUACCCUAACCGUGCAAAGGUAGCAUAAUCAUUUGCCUUUUAAUUGGAGGCUGGUAUGAAUGGUUUGACGAAAGCCAGACUGUCUCCCCUGAAAUAUUUAAAAAUUAACUUUUAGGUGAAGAGGCCUGAAUUAAUUUAAGGGACAAGAAGACCCUGUUGAGCUUUAGUGAAAUUAUAAACUAUAAAAUGAAUUUUGUUCAGUGCAAUAAAAUUGAUGUGGCACUUUGUGUAGCAAAAGUUUAUGGUGAAUCUUUAGUUGGGGCGACUGAGGAACAAUGGAAGCUUCUUUUAAUAAGGCGGUUUAUAGAGUAUUAAUAAGUUUAUAAAUUGAUUUUUACAGAUUAAUUUGAUCCAAACUUGUUUUGAUUAAAGGAAAAAGUUACCACAGGGAUAACAGCGUAAUCUUUCUGGAGAGAUCUUAUCGAAAGAAGGGUUUGCGACCUCGAUGUUGGACUAAGAUAUCCUAAGGGUGUAGAAGUUCUUGAAGGUUGGUCUGUUCGACCAUUAAAAUCUUACGUGAUCUGA